AAAAUCCGACGUUUCAUUGGCGAUUUCAACCCGCCGCCGGCUACUCUUCUUCGGCUUCUUCUCCGGCGAACUCAGCUAAGAAUUUGAUUUUGGCUGUGGGAACUUUAAAUCUGGGAUUUUCAGUAUGGCAUCUCUCAAGGAGCUUCUUCCAGCAGCAAAGUCCACUACCAGCACAGUCUAUGACCAUACAAGUGACCCAUGGUUCAAGAAUAGGUACAGUGCAACUGAGGCGGAGAAAUCUGCAGUAAUCAAGGCAAAUCCUGUACCCCCUUAUCUAAAACGGGCUGGAUUUAGGCCAUCCAAGCUUGAGGACUUUGGGGAUGGAGGAGCAUUCCCUGAAAUCCAUUAUGCACAAUACCCACUUGAUAUGGGCAGAAAGAAAGACUGGAAAGCCGGUGGAAAGAAUUUGCCUGUUACUGUGGAUGAGCAUGGUGAAGUGCGAUAUGAUGCAAUUGUGAGGCAGGGUGAGAAUGCAAAGAAAAUUGUUUAUUCUCAACAUAAAGAUCUUAUCCCCAAGUUUGUGAAGGAGGAUGAGAGUGACGAAGAGAUGGAUCAGGAUGAGAAGCAGAAAGUAAUAGAUGAGACAAUGGAGGAAACUAAAGCAGCACUUGAGAAGAUUGUAAAUGUGCGGUUGAGUGCUGCACAGCCCAAAAAUGUUCCCACACAAUCUCAGGAGUCCAAGUUUAUUAAGUACAAACCUUCUCAGCAAGCGGCAGCUUUUAACUCGGGUGCAAAGGAGAGGAUUAUUAGGAUGGUAGAGAUGCCUGUGGACCCUCUGGAUCCACCGAAGUUCAAACACAAGAGGGUCCCUAGGGCCUCUGGUUCUCCACCUGUGCCUGUUAUGCAUUCUCCUCCCCGUCCAGUUACAGUGAAGGACCAGCAGGACUGGAAGAUUCCACCUUGUAUAUCAAACUGGAAGAACCCCAAAGGUUACACAAUCCCUCUUGAUAAGCGUCUUGCUGCUGAUGGCAGGGGACUUCAAGAUGUUCAGAUCAAUGAUAAUUUUGCAAAACUAUCAGAGGCUCUGUAUGUUGCAGAACAGAAAGCCAGAGAAGCAGUUGCAAUGCGGUCAAAGGUUCAGAAAGAGAUGAUGAUGAAAGAAAAGGAGAAGAAAGAGAUAGAACUUCGGGAGUUGGCCCGCAAGGCAAGAUCUGAUAGAUUGGUUGGGGUACCUUCAGCUGCUGCACAUGUACCUUCUGAGAGGGACUCCAGGAAUGUUGAUGAUAUGAAUGAGGACUAUGAGCGAGCAAGAGAUUUGCCCAAAGAAUCAAGGGGGGAAAGGGAAGAAAGAUUGAAUAGAGAGAAGAUACGUGAGGAGCGGCGCCGUGAGAGGGAGAGGGAGAGGAGAUUGGAGGCAAAAGAUGCUGCAAUGGGUAAGAAGAGUAAGAUCACCAGAGAUAGAGACCGUGAUGUGAGUGAAAAAGUGGCUCUUGGAAUGGCUUCUACUGGCACAUCAAGAGGAGAAGUCAUGUAUGAUCAGAGAUUGUUCAACCAGGAGAAAGGGAUGGAUUCUGGAUUUGCAGUGGAUGAUUCCUACAACGUCUAUGACAAGGGACUAUUUACCGCUCAGCCCACUCUUUCUACUCUAUACAGACCGAAGAAAGAUACUGAUUCUGAAAUGUAUGGAGGUGCAGAUGAGCAGCUGGAUAAGAUCAUGAAGACAGAGCGCUUUAAGCCCGACAAGGCAUUUUCUGGAACAUCUGAGAGGACUAGUACCAGAGAUGGGCCUGUGGCAUUUGAAAAGGAAGUUGAGGAAGCUGAUCCAUUUGGUCUAGACCAGUUCUUGACAGAGGUUAAGAAGGGAAAGAAAGCCAUGUCAAAUGUUGGUAGUGGAGGCACCAUGAAGGCUAGUGCUGGCUCCACGCGAGAUGGUUAUGAAACAUCAAGCAGAACUCGUAUUGCUUUCGACAAAGGGCGUUGAAUUGUCUUCCACUGCCAGCAUCCCUGGCCUUUAUUUGUUCGUCUUUGCUGCAUAAGUGAACUACUCUCAAUCUUUAUACUGUCGUAAUGUAAUCUGUUCUUGCAACUUGAGCUUUGAAGUGUUGAAGACAUGCCUACUUCAGAAGAUAUUAUCAUCUCUUUAUUAUUGCUUUAAGUCUUUCUGCCUUGAAACAGUGGGUUUCUUAGAUUUGGAAGAUGAGAAUAUCCAUCGCGUAAUUAGGUUACGUGAUUUUGACCCAGUUUGAUAUGAACAUCAUUUGUUUGGAUAUGUGGAAUUUCU
rnacentral:misc_RNA from 1 species